rnacentral:rRNA from 1 species
GAUGAACGCUAGCGACAGGCCUAACACAUGCAAGUCGAGGGGCAGCACGAGGUAGCAAUACGUAGGGUGGCGACCGGGCGGACGGGUGAGUAACACGUAUGCAACCUGCCCGUAAUCGGGGGAUAACCCGGAGAAAUUCGGACUAACAACUCCACGUAUCUGUAUUAUUGCAUGAUAAAACAGAUAAACGCAAGGAUUACGGAUGGGCAUGCGGAUGAUUAGCUGGUUGGCGGGGUAACGGCCCACCAAGGCGACGAUCAUUAGGGGUUCUGAGAGGAAGGUCCCCCACAUUGGAACUGAGAAACGGUCCAAACUCCUACGGGAGGCAGCAGUGAGGAAUAUUGGUCAAUGGGCGAGAGCCUGAACCAGCCAAGUCGCGUGAAGGAAGAAGGUCUUAUGGAUUGUAAACUUCUUUAGCAGGGGAAUAAAGGUUAUUACGAGCUAAUAAUUUGCAGGUACUCUGCGAAAAAAGGAUCGGCUAACUCCGUG